rnacentral:rRNA from 1 species
GUGGGGAAUAUUGGACAAUGGGCGCAAGCCUGAUCCAGCCAUGCCGCGUGGGUGAUGAAGGCCUUAGGGUUGUAAAGCCCUUUCGGCGGGGAAGAUAAUGACGGUACCCGCAGAAGAAGCCCCGGCUAACUUCGUGCCAGCAGCCGCGGUAAUACGAAGGGGGCUAGCGUUGCUCGGAAUCACUGGGCGUAAAGCGCACGUAGGCGGCUUUCUAAGUCAGGGGUGAAAUCCUGGAGCUCAACUCCAGAACUGCCUUUGAUACUGGAGAGCUUGAGUUCGGGAGAGGUGAGUGGAACUGCGAGUGUAGAGGUGAAAUUCGUAGAUAUUCGCAAGAACACCAGUGGCGAAGGCGGCUCACUGGCCCGAUACUGACGCUGAGGUGCGAAAGCGUGGGGAGCAAACAGGAUUAGAAACCCUAGUAGUCC